rnacentral:lncRNA from 1 species
AGCUCCUCUUUCUCUGCAAUCAGACCAUCUAUCUCCACGCCUAAAAGUUUAAGUUUGCUCUCAAGUAAAUGUUUUUCUUCAGUCAAGGUGCUAUUUUCAGCUUUUGUUUUAGCAAUAGUUGCCUUCAGUUGAGAACAUUCAGUACCUAAAUUCUGCUCACAUGCUUUCAGGUUAUCAUUCUCCCUUGAGAGCAUCAAAUUCUCAUUCUUCAUCUUCUCAAUCUCUGAUAACAAGGUCUGCACUUCUUUCUCAGCUAGCUGGGCCUUCUCGAGUUGGGAUGACAAGAAGGUGCAUUUCUCUUGGUGUACUGUAACCUCAUUAUACAUAUUGGUCUUUGCCGCUUCAAGGUUUUCCACGGCUUCCUGCAGAUUUGAAAUUUGUUGGUUUUUCUCUUCUAACUUAUUACCGAGCUCAAGAGUAGAAGCAACAGCUUCAUUCUUUUGUCCUUGUACUGUUGCAAGAUCAUUUUGUAAAUUGGAAUUCACCAACUCCAAGUCUUCAUUAUUCUUAUGCAUAAUAGAAAUCCUCUCAAGUUCCUGUUCCAAGUCAUUACCAAGAUUCUCAAAAGAAGCUUCUAGCUGCUGUAGCUCUGAUGACAGAGAAUUUUUUUCGUUUUGCAGCACUGCUAUUUUAUCGUUCAAAUCACCAUUUGUUGAUUCUAGUUCCUUAACACUUGACUGUGCCUUCUCCAACUCAGUUAGGCACUUGGAAUGUUUGGAUACUAGCAUUUCCUUUUCUUCUGCUGCAGCUCCACGUUCUAUGUUCAUACUGUUCAUUAGCUCCUCUUUCUCUGCAAUCAGAUCAUCUAUCUCCACGCCUAAAAGUUUAAGUUUGCUCUCAAGUAAAUGUUUUUCUUCAGUCAAGGUGCUAUUUUCAGCUUUUGUUUCAGCAAUAGUUGCCUUCAGCUGAGAACAUUCAGUACCUAAAUUCUGCUCACAUGCUUUCAGGUUAUCAUUCUCCCUUGAGAGCAUCAAAUUCUCAUUCUUUAUCUUCUCAAUCUCUGAUAACAAGGUCUGCACUUCUUUCUCAGCUAGCUGGGCCUUCUCGAGUUGGGAUGACAAGAAGGUGCAUUUCUCAUUUGUUUCUUGUAGCUGAUUGCUCAAAUCCCCAUUCAUGUUCUCCAGAUCUACUAUUGAAAUCUUCAGGUCAUCUCUCUCUUUUUCAGUAACUUGCUUCUCAACAGACAGUGUCCUAAUCUCAUUCUCCAUGAGUGUUAUUGUUUUGUGUGAUUCUCCUGCCUCUCUCUCUGUAGUUUCAACCAAUAACUUUAGAUUUUCAUUCUCAGAUGACAAAUUUGCAACAUCCGAACUUAACUCUACCCUUGUAGCUUCUUUAUCCUUGAUUGCUUUAUCCAGUAGGUGCUUCAGAUCAGAUAUUUCCUUUGCUUGUUCUUCUGUGUUUUGUUUCAGCUUCUCAAUUUCUGCUUCCAGACUUUCUUCUUUGGCUUCACGAUCUUCAACAAGCUUCUGUUUCCAGCCAUUUUCUUCACUAAGUGCAUCUUCUACCUUUGUCUUAAGAUUAUUAUUGUCUGAGCUGUCUCCCUCGUCGUCUGAAUCAGAUGAAUCCGAAUCACUGGAACUGUGCCCAACAUUUUCUAGUUUACCAAUUAGCUGUUGGUAGUGCUUGUGAAGGUACUCAUACUCUUCAUGGAAGCCCUUCACAAGGGAGGACAGUUUUGAUUUCUUGAAGGCAUUUCCAGAAUCAUCUGAGGGUUCAGUCUUGGCCGAUUCAUUCUCCUCGCCUAUCAUCCGUAGAAUGUUUUCCACAUUAUCAUCAACACCUGUGGGAAAACCAAAACAUAAACUCAUUUCAGACAACAAAUGGCUAGGGGAGUUUAUUGAUUACAGUACAAGCCAGAGUUAUUCUAGAAGAACUAAAAUAUAGCGGUUUUCAUCAGGAAUGAAUGAGAAAAUACACAAGCCUUAUGAGCGUGCUACUGAUGUUUGAAUUAUGUUAGGGAUCAUCCAACCGGAACGACAUAAGAUCAACAGGAAUAUUACAUUUGAGAAACGCCUAGGGGUCUUCCGGCUAGCUCCACAAGGUGGUGGGCUAGACGAUCUAGGUUCGAAACCUCACCCCUUCUAAUUAUUUGAUAUUAGGUCAUUCCCUAAUAUUCGCGUCUUUAACAGGAAUAUUACAUUUACAAGAAUAAUUUGGUAUAUAUAGGAGCAAAUUGCAAAUUGUGAUCCAAGCACAAGAACCUAUAUAACAAAUUGAUUUGAGUUAAAUACUUGUCAAGAGAAUACCUUUUUUGUUCUCCAGAAGAUGUUUGGAUUUCCUAAGUUUGUGUUUCUUCGUCAUGUCGAACUGCUGAAUAUUCUUAUAAUGGCAACAAAUGGUAUUUGCUUGCAGAGGAGAUGAUCUAGUCAAAAUUGAUCAUACUUGAGGUGAUAUGAUGCUCUAGCCUCUAACUCCAGAUUAUGUUUUAUUCGUGAACGAGAGAAGCCCCUGAGUGAACUGUGUAAAGAGCAUAAGAAUAUGAUCAGUAAGGCGCCUAAUCGUAUAAUCCCAGAGAAGAG